UAAGGAAUAUUGGUCAAUGGGGGCAAGCCUGAACCAGCCAUGCCGCGUGCAGGAUGAAGCAUCUAUGGUGUGUAAACUGCUUUUGUACGGGAAGAAACAGCGCUUCGUGAAGCGCCUUGACGGUACCGUAAGAAUAAGCACCGGCUAACUACGUGC
rnacentral:rRNA from 1 species